UGAGGAAUAUUGGUCAAUGGGUGCAAGCCUGAACCAGCCAUCCCGCGUGAAGGACGACUGCCCUAUGGGUUGUAAACUUCUUUUGUAUAGGGAUAAACCUACCCUCGUGAGGGUAGCUGAAGGUACUAUACGAAUAAGCACCGGCUAACUCCGUGCCAGCAGCCGCGGUAAUACGGAGGGUGCAAGCGUUAUCCGGAUUUAUUGGGUUUAAAGGGUCCGUAGGCGGACUUAUAAGUCAGUGGUGAAAGCCUGUCGCUUAACGAUAGAACUGCCAUUGAUACUGUAAGGCUUGAGUAUAUUUGAGGUAGCUGGAAUAAGUAGUGUAGCGGUGAAAUGCAUAGAUAUUACUUAGAACACCAAUUGCGAAGGCAGGUUACCAAGAUAUAACUGACGCUGAGGGACGAAAGCGUGGGGAGCGAACA
rnacentral:rRNA from 1 species